CUGAGCGUCAGUCUUCGUCCAGGGGGCCGCCUUCGCCACCGGUAUUCCUCCAGAUCUCUACGCAUUUCACCGCUACACCUGGAAUUCUACCCCCCUCUACGAGACUCAAGCCUGCCAGUUUCGGAUGCAGUUCCCAGGUUGAGCCCGGGGAUUUCACAUCCGACUUGACAGACCGCCUGCGUGCGCUUUACGCCCAGUAAUUCCGAUUAACGCUUGCACCCUCCGUAUUACCGCGGCUGCUGGCACGGAGUUAGCCGGUGCUUCUUCUGCGGGUAACGUCAAUCGACGCGGUUAUUAACCNCAUCGCCUUCCUCCCCGCUGAAAGUACUUUACAACCCGAAGGCCUUCUUCAUACACGCGGCAUGGCUGCAUCAGGCUUGCGCCCAUUGUGCAAUAUUCCCCACUGCUGCCUCCCGUAGGAGUCUGGACCGUGUCUCAGUUCCAGUGUGGCUGGUCAUCCUCUCAGACCAGCUAGGGAUCGUCGCCUAGGUGAGCCGUUACCCCACCUACUAGCUAAUCCCAUCUGGGCACAUCUGAUGGCAAGAGGCCCGAAGGUCCCCCUCUUUGGUCUUGCGACGUUAUGCGGUAUUAGCUACCGUUUCCAGUAGUUAUCCCCCUCCAUCAGGCAGUUUCCCAGACAUUACUCACCCGUCCGCCACUCGUCAGCNAAGCAGCAAGCUGCUUCCUGUUACCGUUCGACUUGCAUGUGUUAGGCCUGCCGCCAGCGU
rnacentral:rRNA from 1 species